AAAUUGAAGAGUUUGAUCAUGGCUCAGAUUGAACGCUGGCGGCAGGCCUAACACAUGCAAGUCGAACGGUAACAGAAAGCAGCUUGCUGCUUUGCUGACGAGUGGCGGACGGGUGAGUAAUGUCUGGGAAACUGCCCGA
rnacentral:rRNA from 1 species